GACGAACGCUGGCGGCGUGCCUAAUACAUGCAAGUUGAGCGAUGAAGAUUGGUGCUUGCACCAAUUUGAAGAGCAGCGAACGGGUGAGUAACGCGUGGGGAAUCUGCCUUUGAGCGGGGGACAACAUUUGGAAACGAAUGCUAAUACCGCAUAAUAACUUUAAACAUAAGUUUUAAGUUUGAAAGAUGCAAUUGCAUCACUCAAAGAUGAUCCCGCGUUGUAUUAGCUAGUUGGUGAGGUAAAGGCUCACCAAGGCGAUGAUACAUAGCCGACCUGAGAGGGUGAUCGGCCACAGUGGGACUGAGACACGGCCCAAACGCCUACGGAAGGGAGCAGAAGGGAAUCUUAGGCAAUGAACAAAAGUCUGAACGGGCAACGCCGAGAGAGUGAAGAAGGUUUUCGGAUCGUAACACACUGUUGGUAGAGAAGAGCGUUGGUGAGAGUGGAAAGCUCAUCAAGUGACGGUAACUACCCAGAAAGGGACGGCUAACUACGUG
rnacentral:rRNA from 1 species